rnacentral:rRNA from 1 species
AACGAACGCUGGCGGCAUGCCUAAUACAUGCAAGUCGAACGAAGGCUUCGGCCUUAGUGGCGCACGGGUGCGUAACGCGUGGGAAUCUACCCUUGGGUUCGGAAUAACAGUUAGAAAUGACUGCUAAUACCGGAUGAUGACGUAAGUCCAAAGAUUUAUCGCCCAAGGAUGAGCCCGCGUAAGAUUAGCUAGUUGGUGAGGUAAAGGCUCACCAAGGCUACGAUCUUUAGCUGGUCUGAGAGGAUGAUCAGCCACACUGGGACUGAGACACGGCCCAGACUCCUACGGGAGGCAGCAGUAGGGAAUAUUGGACAAUGGGCGAAAGCCUGAUCCAGCAAUGCCGCGUGAGUGAUGAAGGCCUUAGGGUUGUAAAGCUCUUUUACCAGGGAUGAUAAUGACAGUACCUGGAGAAUAAGCUCCGGCUAACUCCGUG